UUUCCUCUCAUGACAUCUCCUCAUAUUACCUGCGCCGUUUCCACGUUUAAUCUCGCGAGUUUAACACACGCGCUCACAUGACCCGCUGCAGCCAAUCACGCUCUAUAAAAUCCAGCAUUCCGAGAUGGCUGCCAGGUGCGGUGGCUAAACCUGGGGACAUAUGAAGCCGGUGCCGAACAUCAGGGACGUGUUGCGACGAGAGAGUGUGUCGAUGAUAAGAUAUUAAGCCGAUUUGGCCAGGUCCCUAAGUCUUGGAUGGCGAGCUGUAGAUAGGCCUCGAGCCUGAGCCCAAGGAUCUCCACCUCUCAACCCCUGAACUCCACCUGCUCUGGUCGGGCCGGUAGGCGGCUUAUAGCCGAACCCCUUGCCUCGCACCUCAUUGCUCUGCGGCCCUUUGCACUACCUCAUACACACCCUGCCCAUAAACUGAACUCUCACUACAAACUGCCAUACCCACAACCCCAAACCGUGUGGCUGUAUGAACUCUGAAUGCGCAUAUGGACUGCGAUCAGUCUCAUAUGACCUUUUAAGAACUUUUGAUACUACCUGUUAUGAAUUAACUGAACCCUUGCUGUUUUUUUCUUUUGUUUUGAAUGGCCAUUCCUAUCAAUGUAUGUCCACUAUUUGUUGCAC